CGCGUAGGCGGUCUUUUAAGUCAGAUGUGAAAGCCCUCGGCUUAACUGAGGAAGUGCAUUUGAUACUAAGAGACUUGAGUAUGGGAGAGGGAAGCGGAAUUCCUGGUGUAGCGGUGAAAUGCGUAGAUAUCAGGAGGAACACCAGUGGCGAAGGCGGCUUCCUGGACCAAUACUGACGCUGAGGCGCGAAGGCGUGGGGAGCAAACA
rnacentral:rRNA from 1 species